rnacentral:rRNA from 1 species
GGACCCGCACAAGCGGUGGAGCAUGUGGUUUAAUUCGAUGCAACGCGAAAAAACCUUACCUACACUUGACAUACUUCGAAUUUUCUAGAGAUAGAUUAGUGCCUUCGGGAGCGAAGAUACAGGUGCUGCAUGGCUGUCGUCAGCUCGUGUCGUGAGAUGUUGGGUUAAGUCCUAUAACGAGCGCAACCCUUACCCUUAUUUGCCAGCGGUUAGGCCGGGAACUAUAAGGGAACUGCCGGUAAUAAGCCGGAGGAAGGUGGGGACGACGUCAAGUCAUCAUGGCCCUUACGUGUAGGGCUACACACGUGCUACAAUGGGAGAUACAGAGAGCAGCCAAUGCGCGAGCAU